rnacentral:rRNA from 1 species
AGAGUUUGAUCCUGGCUCAGGACGAACGCUGGCGGCGCGCCUAACACAUGCAAGUCGAACGAGCGAGAGAGAGCUUGCUUUCUCGAGCGAGUGGCGAACGGGUGAGUAACGCGUGAGGAACCUGCCUCAAAGAGGGGGACAACAGUUGGAAACGACUGCUAAUACCGCAUAAGCCCACGGGUCGGCAUCGACCAGAGGGAAAAGGAGCAAUCCGCUUUGAGAUGGCCUCGCGUCCGAUUAGCUAGUUGGUGAGGUAACGGCCCACCAAGGCGACGAUCGGUAGCCGGACUGAGAGGUUGAACGGCCACAUUGGGACUGAGACACGGCCCAGACUCCUACGGGAGGCAGCAGUGGGGAAUAUUGCACAAUGGGGGAAACCCUGAUGCAGCGACGCCGCGUGGAGGAAGAAGGUCUUCGGAUUGUAAACUCCUGUUGUUGAGGAAGAUAAUGACGGUACUCAACAAGGAAGUGACGGCUAACUACGUGCCAGCAGCCGCGGUAAAACGUAGGUCACAAGCGUUGUCCGGAAUUACUGGGUGUAAAGGGAGCGCAGGCGGGAAGACAAGUUGGAAGUGAAAUCCAUGGGCUUAACCCAUGAACUGCUUUCAAAACUGUUUUUCUUGAGUAGUGCAGAGGUAGGCGGAAUUCCCGGUGUAGCGGUGGAAUGCGUAGAUAUCGGGAGGAACACCAGUGGCGAAGGCGGCCUACUGGGCACCAACUGACGCUGAGGCUCGAAAGUGUGGGUAGCAAACAGGAUUAGAUACCCUGGUAGUCCACACCGUAAACGAUGAUUACUAGGUGUUGGAGGAUUGACCCCUUCAGUGCCGCAGUUAACACAAUAAGUAAUCCACCUGGGGAGUACGACCGCAAGGUUGAAACUCAAAGGAAUUGACGGGGGCCCGCACAAGCAGUGGAGUAUGUGGUUUAAUUCGACGCAACGCGAAGAACCUUACCAAGUCUUGACAUCCUGUGACAGACGUAGAAAUACGUUCUUCCUUCGGGACACAGAGACAGGUGGUGCAUGGUUGUCGUCAGCUCGUGUCGUGAGAUGUUGGGUUAAGUCCCGCAACGAGCGCAACCCUUAUGGUCAGUUACUACGCAAGAGGACUCUGGCCAGACUGCCGUUGACAAAACGGAGGAAGGUGGGGAUGACGUCAAAUCAUCAUGCCCUUUAUGACUUGGGCUACACACGUACUACAAUGGCGUUAAACAAAGAGAAGCAAGACCGCGAGGUGGAGCAAAACUCAGAAACAACGUCCCAGUUCGGACUGCAGGCUGCAACUCGCCUGCACGAAGUCGGAAUUGCUAGUAAUCGUGGAUCAGCAUGCCACGGUGAAUACGUUCCCGGGCCUUGUACACACCGCCCGUCACACCAUGAGAGCCGGGGGGACCC